rnacentral:rRNA from 1 species
UAGGGAAUCUUCGGCAAUGGGGGGAACCCUGACCGAGCAACGCCGCGUGAGUGAAGAAGGUUUUCGGAUCGUAAAGCUCUGUUGUUAAGGAAGAACGAGUGUGAGAAUGGAAAGUUCAUGCUGUGACGGUACUUAACCAGAAAGGGACGGCUAAUUACGUGCCAGCAGCCGCGGUAAUACGUAAGGGGCGAGCGUUGUCCGGAAUUAUUGGGCGUAAAGAGUGCGUAGGCGGCAAAUUAAGUCAGAUGUGAAAACUAAGGGCUCAACCCAUAGAUUGCAUCUGAAACUGAUAUGCUUGAGUCAAGGAGAGGAAAGUGGAAUUCCUAGUGUAGCGGUGGAAUGCGUAGAUAUUAGGAGGAAUACCGGUGGCGAAGGCGACUUUCUGGACUUGAACUGACGCUGAGGCACGAAAGCGUGGGGAGCAAACAGG